GCACCUUUAGUGUAGUGGAUAUCACGCAAGAUUCCGGUUCUUGAGACAGGGGUUCGAUUCCCUUAAGGUGCG
rfam:Enterococcus saccharolyticus ATCC 43076 genomic scaffold acpML-supercont1.1, whole genome shotgun sequence.